AAAGAGCUCGUAGCUCUGGCCCCUGCUGGGGUAGCAGCGCAACCAUGAGCCAUUGAAAUAGGAUCCUGCUGCCGUAGCCGCUGCCUAGAAAUUUGGUGACCAGGCCAAGAUAUAAAUAGAAAGCGGCCAGAUGCAGCCCACAGGCUGGAUCAAAGUGUUAGGCAGGCCAGAUCCGGCCCCCAGGCCACAUUUUGCCCAGCCCUGUGCUAGUGUCUGAAAGUAUUAUAUUCUCCCAAAAAAGAUGCAAUUGUAGGCUUCCAAAUCAUCUAUUUUAAAUUAAGAUCUAAUGGGAAAUUUCUUCUAGAUUCUAAAGGUGAAAUCCUGGUCCCAUUAAAUCAGUAAUAUAACUGCCAUUGACUUCCAAUCUUUCCCCUUUUCAGCCUUCUCCCCGAUUUUAUCACUGAGAGAUUAAAAGUAAAAUGAGCAUAUCAAUCUGCACAACUCUUAUAGUUUGAGCACUUGACAUUAAUUAAUUCUCAUACCUUCCAAUAGGGAAAUAUUAUUCAUAUUUUACAAAUGGAAAACUAGCAAUGAGUUUAAAUUGCAGCAAGGGAGAUUUAGGUUGGACAUUAGCAAAAACGUCCUAACUGUCAAAGUGGCUAACCACUGGAAUAAAUUGCCUAGGGAGGUAGUGGUGAUAUGCAAGAGCACGUUGGAUAGGCAUCUAUGAGGGAUAAUCUAGAUUCUGGAAGAUGGUGUUGGGUUCUGCGUUGAGGGCAGGGGAGUGGACUUGACCUCUUGAGGUCCCUUCCAGUUCUAGUGUUCUAUGGUUCUGAGACACAAGGACUAAAUGGCUUGCCCAAUAUUCAGGAAGGAACUGAACCCUCUCUCCUGAUCAUGGCCUUAACUGGAAGACAUCCAUAUGUGCGCAUCCUAGUGGAUGGAACUGGCUCUGCUAAACUGUGUGUCCUACAUCCUUGUACUGAUCAUGAUAGAGGAAGUAGUACAGACAUGUUUGCACUAGACAGAUUUUAAUUCCCUGACACUGUUUUUCCUGUUAAAUCACAGUCUCGUGAUUCAAUUUUCUUCUACAAAGGCAGAGAGCAAAUUAACAAAGAAAAUACAAGGGUCAUGACUUACCGGUGGAGAAAUCCUAACUUAAGAGAAAAAGGAAGUAAACAGCUCCUGUUUCCACUGGAUGGCAAAACUCCAUUUGAUUUCAGGAGGAGGAUCGGGCUCCAUAACAGAAGCAAAUAAACAUCAAUGUUUGACAAAUGAAGGAAGACUAAAACAACCUAAAAAAAUUGUUAUAAGCUUCUAAAAAGGUAUUAAAAUAUGGAGUUGUGUUCUGACCGCA